CUUGCCUUUUAAUUAAAGGAUAGUAUGAAUGAAGACACGUGGAUAAAGCUGUUUCUUAUAAUAUUCUAAAAAUUAUUCUUCAGGUGAAGAAACCUGAAUUCUAUAAAAAGACAAGAAGACCCUAUCAAGCUUUAUAUUACUUUAUAUCUUAUAUAAUAUAAUAUUUGGUUGGGGCGACUAAUGGAACCAACAACCUCCAUAAAAACUAUGAAAUAUUUUUCUUACUUUUUAAAAUUUUAAUUUAAGAAAGCUACUGUAGGGAUAACAGGCUAAUAUUUUCUAAGAGUUCAAAUUAAAGAAAAUGUUUGGCACCUCGAUGUUGGCUUAGGA
rnacentral:rRNA from 1 species